rnacentral:rRNA from 1 species
CCGGCGCACGGGUGAGUAACACGUAUGCAAUCCACCUGUAACAGGGGGAGUAACCCGGAGAAAUCCGGACUAAUACCCCAUAAUAUGGGCGCUCCGCAUGGAGAGUUCAUUAAAGAGAGCAAUUUUGGUUACAGACGAGCAUGCGCUCCAUUAGCCAGUUGGCGGGGUAACGGCCCACCAAGGCGACGAUGGAUAGGGGUUCUGAGAGGAAGGUCCCCCACAUUGGAACUGAGACACGGUCCAA